UACGUAGGGGGCAAGCGUUGUCCGGAAUCAUUGGGCGUAAAGCGCGUGUAGGCGGUCCGAUAGGUUCGCUGUGAAAGUCGGGGGCUUAACCCUCGGAUGCCGGUGAAUACUGUCGGGCUUGAGUACGGAAGAGGCGAGUGGAAUUCCUGGUGUAGCGGUGAAAUGCGCAGAUAUCAGGAGGAACACCAAUUGCGAAGGCAGCUCGCUGGGACGUUACUGACGCUGAGACGCGAAAGCGUGGGGAGCAAACAGG
rnacentral:rRNA from 1 species